rnacentral:rRNA from 1 species
AGUGAACGCUGGCGGUAGGCCUAACACAUGCAAGUCGAACGGCAGCACAGUAAGAGCUUGCUCUUACGGGUGGCGAGUGGCGGACGGGUGAGGAAUACAUCGGAAUCUACUUUUUCGUGGGAGAUAACGUAGGGAAACUUACGCUAAUACCGCAUACGACCUACGGGUGAAAGCAGGGGAUCUUCGGACCUUGCGCGAUUGAAUGAGCCGAUGUCGGAUUAGCUAGUUGGCGGGGUAAAGGCCCACCAAGGCGACGAUCCGUAGCUGGUCUGAGAGGAUGAUCAGCCACACUGGAACUGAGACACGGUCCAGACUCCUACGGGAGGCAGCAGUGGGGAAUAUUGGACAAUGGGCGCAAGCCUGAUCCAGCUAUACCGCGUGGGUGAAGAAGGCCUUCGGGUUGUAAAGCCCUUUUGUUGGGAAAGAAAAGCAGCAGGUUAAUACCCCGCUGUUCUGACGGUACCCAAAGAAUAAGCACCGGCUAACUUCGUG